CUCUCUAAAUGAUUACUUUUGAUUUUGUGUAACUGAGUGGUAACAACUGUUCUUCUUUUCCUUAACAGAAACAAGUAGUACUAUUGUUCCAGGUGAUUAAAAAAAAAAAAAAAGGAUCCCCUUCUUCCCCUGCCAGAUGUUUUGCCGAUGGAGUUGUGAACAUUCCAUGGCCACACCUGGAGGAGCUACAACAGAGUUAAGGGCAAUGGCGGUUCGCGGAGCCUCUCAAUAGUUCCCGGAAGUAAGCGGCACAUGCUAGCAGCGCAAUGGAGUUACAGCAGAAAAGACCGGCUGUGAUGUACUUUUAACGGGUAAGAUGUCCAAAGACUCAAAUUUUACAUUAUCAGCACAACUUAUCUAAAUUA